rnacentral:lncRNA from 1 species
UAUAAGAUCUAUUACUUUCCAUCAAAAUUUCUUUCGUCAUAAUCAAGUUAAGCUGUGCAUGUGUCUAUCUAUCUAGGAGUUGUAUUUCAAAGGUUUAUUUUUACCUAGGUGGAGUAACGUGACUACAUGUGUACCUAGGGAUGUGAGCAGAAGGAUAUGGGAAACUCCUCCUUCAAUUGCUUAAAAUAAUACUGUUAACCUACAUGUUCUCUCUUUCUAGAUUAUAUAAAUUGAGCCAUGAGCAUGCACAUGAUCCAGCUCCAAUCAGGAAGGUGAGGACAAGGCCCUAGCUGUGGGGGGAAGAAAAAGAGAACCUAGAUUCCUGAAAGUCUGCAACGAGUAGAGGAAGACAUUGAUGCUAAGUAUAAAAGUAUGAGAAUAACUGCGUUAAAAGACGGGAACUUAGCUUUGUUGAAAGAUCCUCAUGAUCCAUCUGAAUCACCAGCGAGGUUCAGCCUGAAAUGGAGAAAGCAGAGCAUCUCAUCUAAAAACAGCAUCUCCAAUUUCUUCCUGUUUCAGAAAUUAAAAUCAUAAGGAAAAAAUCUUAUUGUCUUGGCUCAGGUCACUUGACACUUGAACCAAGGAAAGUCUGCAGUCAUAAGCUGGCCUCAACACACUGAAGUAUAUUCAGCAUUAUAAACACACUGAAACACCAAAAAGGCUGAGAUGCACAUAAUUUGAAGAGUGAAAAUGGCUCGAGAGCAUGAAGUCUCAUUAUCUGUAGAUGGAGUUUCUCUUUUGUUGCCCAGGCUGGAGUGCAAUGGCGCAAUCUCGACUCACCCCAACCUCCGCCUCCUUGUUUCAAGCGAUUCUCCUGCCUCAGCCUCUCAAGUAGCUGGGAUUACAGGCAGGCGCCAUCACGCCCAGUUAAUUUUGUAUUUUUGGUAGAUACAGGGUUUCUUCAUGUUGGUCAGGUGGGGCUCAAACUCCCAACCUCAGAUUAUCUGCCCACCUCGGCCUCCCAAAGUGCUGGGAUUACAGGCGUGAGCCACCGGGCAGGCCGUAAAUACUUUUGUAUAAGUACCUUAGUCCUGACGGAAGUCAUUUCUUCCACAUGCAUGUAUUCAAAUCUUAUUGUAUAUCAAGCACUGUUCUAAGCCCUGAGGAUGCAGCUGUAAACAAAAUAGACCACUUAUCUAUCUUCGUGGAGAUUAUAUUCCAGUAGAAUUACCAGGGCUGUCUGAAAAGGAGCACAACAGUUUCAUUAUAAAACAAAGAAAUAUAUCAUCACAAUGGGGUUGAAAAACUGGUAAAACAGGCAUCUGUUUUGUGGAGGAAAGUGUUUCAGACCACUCAAAAUAUUCCAGGCUUCUAAUUGCUUAGAAACAACGUCAUAGGAAUGUUCUAGAUAGCUGACCCAUUUGGUAGGGGUAAGCUGGAAAUCACUAUUUUGGAUUUUUGCUGUUCCAAUAACAGUUUUGGUUUAACUAAUAAAACUCAACAGUUUUCCUGUAGCUCCUGACUGCAAGAGUUUGACCAUUUCUGCAUUUUUUAUGCAAAAACACAUCAAUCUCAUCAACGUCUGUAUCCUACAUAAAGAUGUAUGUCUUUCCUCCUACAAUAGUGAGCAAAGUUACUUGUACCAAGAACUCCUCAUCUACGUCAGCAUACAGCUAAAACAAGGAUUGGGAUAAAGUUUCCAAUUUGAAAAAGAAAAAAAAGAUUAUAUGACUUAGUGGGCAGGGAUCUGGCUGCGUGAAUUUUCUGGUUUUCUACUAUGAGACAAUUGUCCAUUUAGAUAAUUGCAAAAAUCAUUUGAUUUUCACUAUUACUUUUAUUUGUAAAUAAAAUUUAGAAUCAUGCAAUGACCAUAGGAGUACUGCUUACUUGGAGGUGGUCAGUCAAAUGGCAUUUACAGUAGACAGGGAAAAAUUAGAGCUUAAAGCUGCAGUGUGAGCAAAAGCAGACAUUAAAAGAGGCCCUCGGCCCGGAGGUUGUCUUUGGGAGGUAUGAGCCAACCCUCCUGGGAAAAGUUGGAUUUCUGAGCAUUUGAGCAUCUGUGGUUUUGUCCCAGGGAAGCAAGUUUUCUACAUGCAAGCAAAAAUCCCUGUUAGCUCACAGAGCUUUCCCCAUGUGACUUCAGACAUGGUUGACCCAUGUGAGUUAGUGCAGUGAAAUGCAGUGUGAAGGCAAAGAAUCACACCCACCCAAGUGUCUUCCCAGAAAAGGAAAUGAAUUGCCAUGGGAGAAGCAAUGAUUUCUGGAGACUGAACAGGAACUACCUGAGCACACAGAUUGUGCCAAUUCUUUACAUAGGUCAUUUCAUAUGUUUAUGCCUGAGAGGGUACUAAGGAUAUUAUGAAUCACUAUACAAAUAUUUCAUCAUUAUUAUUCUUAUUCAUUAAUAUAACUUAAACCUGAAUUAUAAUUUUAUUACUAUGAUUAUUUUUAGAAAUUCUUUCCUACAUGGGCAUAGAGGAAGGAACAACAAAAAAAGAUUGUUUACAUUCCCCCCAAUCUCCUGUGGCCCAAUAGUGGGAUGAAAAGAAUUAAAAAGCUAAAGCAUUAGUAAAAGGUCUAGAUUGGCUUGCAGGAUUUUGCCUUAAGCUUUAUUACAGUAUAAUUUUUACGCUCAGCUCUCAGCAACAAUUUUUCUUUAAUGGAGGCUAUAUUAUGGAUUAUAAAAUAUAUCCUUUUUUCCUUUUAUUCUUUCUUGUUUUUUUCUUACUCCAUUUCUUCUUUCCUUACUUCCUCUCUCCCUGCUUUUUUAUCCUUAAAAAAUAUUUGUUAAUAGCAUUAUAUGCAAGACAGUCUAGAAUUUAUUGAUUAAUACAUUGUUUUUGUUUUUGACUGUUUUAUGGUCUGGGCAACGAAGUUUUGUCUAUGCGAAGGAUUCAUGCUUAGUGCUUCUCUCCUCUGUGCAAAGCAUAAUUCAUUUGCCUCAUGAACGAGACCCAACAUAUUGGUUUACAGCUGACAGCUUGAUCACGUUUUCUUGCUAAAAACUGCUUUUGAAAUAAUUAGAGUAUGUAAAUUAUAUAAUAUUAUAUAUUUCAUCUGAUAAGUUUUGUUUAAUGGUGAGAAACAAACUCAUUUACUUUUCAAAAUCAGAUUCAAUGAUUUCCACAAAUCUUUGUCCUUAGAGUUAUGGAUAAUUGGUGCCCUGCAUGUAAGACUGGGAAAUGUAAAAAUGGUAUAAACAUGUUGCAUUAGAUUCCACAGGCUGCCAUAAUAAAUUAUGAUAAGGUUGGUGGCUUACAACAACAUUUAUUUUCUUAAAGAUCUGCAGCCACGAAGUCCAGAAUCAAGAUUUUUGGACUCCGAGAUUUAAUGCUCCCACUGAAGGCUCUUGCAGGAAAUCCUUGUCAUUUGCAGCUUCUGGUGGCUGAAGGCAUUCCUUUGUUUGCAAUCUCUACUUUUGUCAUCACAUGGUCUUCUUCCUUGUGUCUCUGUGUGUCCUUUACUGUCUCUUAUAAAAUCAUUCUCAUUGGAUUUAGGACCCAGGCUAAACUAUUAUGAUGUCAUCUCAACCCUUACCAUUAUUAAAUCUGCAAAGAUUGUAUUUCUAAAUAAGAUCACAUAAUGAGGUUGUAGGUAGACAUAAAUUUUGAGUGGACACUCUUCAACCCACUACAUAUGUUAAUCUGAAAAGUGAGGACUUUAGAAUUGUCACAAGAUUUGAUGGGUACUCUUAUUUACCACUAAGAUUUCCCUUCAGAAAUGAAGGACCUACUGGGUGUGCUUUUGGAAGAUGAUCCUUGAAUAACAGUUGUCCGUUUUAGAAACUGUUUCAGUUGAAAAGAGCCACCUCACCCAAGAUUCCCUAGGUAGCCUGCAUCCAAUGACAGAAUGACAUGGAAAGAAAGGACUAUAAAGACCUAAAUCCUUUCCCUUAGUCAGUACGGUUCUUAAAUGGUCAUCACGUCUUCAGCACCCUGUGAUAUGGUAAGGCUUUGUGUCCCCACCCAAAUCUCCUCUUGAGUUGUAAUCCUCGUAAUCCCCAUAAUCUCCAUGGGUCAAGAGAGAGACAAGGUGGAGGUAACUGAAUCAUGGGGAUGGUUUCACCCAUGCUCUUCUCAUGAUAGUGAGUGAGUUCUCACAAGGGAUUAUGGUCUUAUAUGGAGCUCUUCCCCCUUCCCUGGGCACUUCUCCUUCCUGCUGUCUUGUGAAGAAGGUGCGUUGCUUCCCCUUUGCCUUCCACCACAGUUGUAUGUUUCCUGAUGCCUCCCCAGCCAUGCGGAACUGUGAGUUAAUGAAACCUCUUUCCUUUAUAUAUUACCCAGUCUUAUGUAUUUCUGUACAGCAGUACAAAAACAGACUAAUACAACCUGCAAGAUAGAUCCGGGUUUCCACUGAAACUGCAUUGCAUCUUGAUGCCUCUGUUGGCCUAAAGCUGCACUGACUCUUUCCUUUGCCUCCCUUCUCUUCUCUUGCCAGAUGUCCCCUCCCCAACAAGGGCAUUCACUUAUAAACCUCCUGUUUACUAAUCUUUGGCCAAGAUUCCACUUCCUGAAGAACUCAACCUGCUAUUAAGAUAUGGAUACACAACUUAUAUGAAUGUUUUAUAAGAUAGUACUAGCCUUCAUUAUUUGUGAUACCCUCUGGUAUAUUUCUAUUCAAUUCAAUUGUAUUCUAUUCUGUUCCAUUGCAUUCUAUUUCAUUGUCUAUUAUAUUCACCAGAAUCCAGGUCAAGAUUAACUUAAUGGACAUCAUGAGCUAUAGUUUGAAAAAAAAAUGGCUCUUUCAUGCUUGCUCAGAAAUUAAAAUGCAUUACUUAAAUCACAGUUAUAUUUACUUCAUCGAGGCAAAUUCAUUUACAAAUUCAUUAAUAAUAGUCCUAUAGAACAUGCAAAUAACUUGAGUAGUUACAUUUUGCCAAAAUAUCAUUACAAUUUCUAGAAAUGCAUAGUGUAAGCAACUACUCAUUGGAUUUAUACAUAAAAGUGUAUAAAAUAUGAAAUAUAAACUAAAAUAAUUAUUAUUUCAACAUUUGGCAUACCUCAUCCUAUGUUAAGGUAUUCAACUGAAGGUUUGAUUCAAUUAACCAACUAACAAAAAGAGAAGAAAACUAAUACAUAUUUUUUACUCUAAGUGAGAAUUUGGCCUAGAACCUUUAAACUUUCAAGUUAGCAGUCCACAACAAACUCCCCAAUAGUAGCAGAUCUUUGAUACCAAUUCUCAGUAUAGCUUUUAGUCUUCGACCUGGUAACAAUCUUAGAAUGUAUCACAAAAAAAACUAAAUUAUGUAAAAACUGAACUGUCAAAACUAUAUUAAGUUCUCCAUCUUUGUUAUCUCUGUCCUGUUGUUACACAAAUUAUUUUUCUUCCUCUACCAUUUAAACAGUA